rnacentral:rRNA from 1 species
GCAAGGGUUAAUCGGAAUUACUGGGCGUAAAGCGCACGCAGGCGGUCUGUUAAGUCAGAUGUGAAAUCCCCGGGCUUAACCUGGGAACUGCAUUUGAAACUGGCAGGCUUGAGUCUUGUAGAGGGGGGUAGAAUUCCAGGUGUAGCGGUGAAAUGCGUAGAGAUCUGGAGGAAUACCGGUGGCGAAGGCGGCCCCCUGGACAAAGACUGACGCUCAGGUGCGAAAGCGUGGGGAGCAAACAGGAUUAGAUACCCUGGUAGUCCACGCCGUAAACGAUGUCGACUUGGAGGUUGUUCCCUUGAGGAGUGGCUUCCGGAGCUAACGCGUUAAGUCGACCGCCUGGGGAGUACGGCCGCAAGGUUAAAACUCAAAGGAAUUGACGG